UAAUACUUUCGUGGGUGUUUUUCUGGUCAGGCUAUCAAGUACGAGAAUUAUUCGCGACUACCGAGAUACGAUACGGAACGCGCGCAUACGUGUUCGCGUGAUAACGUACAAUGCAAAUGGCACGACACGGACGCCAUGGUCGUUCUGCGCUAGAGAUGGGCAUCGAAGAGUGCUGCGGGACACGCGCUUGGGAAACUACGGUGAAAUUUCAUUUUAUUCUGUUCUGUAGACGUAGCGAGGAUAAUAUUUAUCGCAAUUUUUCGUCGACGUGUUUAUCGUAGCUCUCGUUUUGCGUCGGAACAACAUCGAAGUCGAUACGCAGAGACACGUUAAAUCUUACCGCAAAUAGAUGAACGUACGUGUAACGAAGUUUAAAGUAAAAGGUUUGUACGACUCGGGAAUGUAUUUUUUUUUUUUUUUUGUUCUCAAUUCUGAAGGAAUAUUUGAUUAUCUCGGACGAGAGAGAUCGGAAGCGACUCUUCUCGGACUCAGGUACCAACACAGGACGCGACGAGCCAUGGCGAGCAGAUUCGAGGCCAACGAGUAAAAUUAGACAGCGCGUGGAUGGAAUUCGAGCCAAUCGAGCAACCCCAAAUGGAAAUGGAAACGCUUCGAUUACUGUACAGACAAAAGAUGGCCGCAAUGCGACGCCUUCUAUAAAAUGGCGGUUGUUGACCACCCGCCGCCAAGCAGGCGUGUUUUCACGGAUUUUACCCAAGGCUCGGAACAAUCCGCUGCUCCCUUUACGGUCCUUCGGUCUCGAACGACCGAGUCCUACCGACGGACCGAGAUUUUUAGACCAAGUUCGCACGACUCCCCGAAAGUAUCUAAACUCACGUAAAUUCUUCCGAAGUUGUCGUUGUCGCACGUUUACAACUAAACGUGUACCUUUUAACGAAAAGACGAAAAAAGGAUCCUGUUACCGAAUAAUUCGCAGAUCGUAUCAACGACGACGGACAGCGAAGACGAGGCCCAUAGUAUCGAAAGAAGAAACAAAUCUGGGAAUAUUACGAGACCGGUGCAAAGUAUCGAAACUACAAUCUCGAUAGCGGUGCUAAUUUACCAGAACGCAAGACAAACGUCUCGAUCCUUCUCCGACGUCGUGUCUCCCGGUUCGCGCCGGUUGUACAAGUCACGUACAAGGAACGUGCACGUUUUAUUUACGAAAAACGACGGGAUUCUCGAUGCCUCCGUUCGUCGUUUCUAAAACUCAUCGACGCCGACGCGUGUUCAUUGAACGUACCUUUACAGGGUUUUGCGUUUAGAACACCCGUCGGACGAUCGUUUCGCAACCCGUUUCGACGUUGCGAUAUUUACAUGCAAGCGUGAGCUCGAAAUUCAGAAUAAUCAAACAGAUUCGACAUACGUCGCGAACGUGUCGAUUUUGCGACGGCCGGUCUGGGUGUAAUUGCUGAAGCGGUAAAAAGAAAAAAAAGAAAAGAAAAAGGCUCCUGGGCACUUGUUACAUGGAAAACGACAACGGACUGCUUUAUUAAGAGAGAGA